CAUGCCAUCAUAUGUCUGCAAAAUGUCAAACAAAAUGUAAGCAAGUAUCAACCAGUGAUUAGAGUAAUUAAAAGAUGAUAUUUUGACUACAGGGAAAACUUUUCAUGAGAUAAAUACAAAUAUAACCAUCAUAUAAGGGAACCAGCCAUCAACAAAUAUACUGCAUGUUUAUGACAAUAAGUUAUACAAGUUUAGAAGUUUAAUCAACUCAAAAGGUUCCAUUGUAAUUCAUUUACCCAUACAAGUCGACCACUAAGGAAGCAUGCAGAGCAUUGUAAAGAAUUUCUUUACAAAUUGUGAGGGAACGAAACAAACUCAACCACGCAAGAAGUAAACAGAAGCAGAAAGAUGAGCAGUCAGGAAAGAACCUCCAUUCCAG
rnacentral:misc_RNA from 1 species